UACGGGGGGGGCAAGCGUUGUUCGGAUUUACUGGGCGUAAAGGGCGCGUAGGCGGUCAGCACAAGUCAGUUGUGAAAUCUCCGAGCUUAACUCGGAAAGGUCAACUGAUACUGUGCGACUAGAGUGCGGAAGGGGCAACUGGAAUUCUUGGUGUAGCGGUGAAAUGCGUAGAUAUCAAGAGGAACACCUGCGGCGAAGGCGGGUUGCUGGGCCGACACUGACGCUGAAGCGCGAAAGCCAGGGGAGCGAACGGG
rnacentral:rRNA from 1 species